AGUGAACGCUGGCGGUAGGCCUAACACAUGCAAGUCGAACGGCAGCACAGUAAGAGCUUGCUCUUACGGGUGGCGAGUGGCGGACGGGUGAGGAAUACAUCGGAAUCUACUUUUUCGCGGGGGAUAACGUAGGGAAACUUACGCUAAUACCGCAUACGACCUACGGGUGAAAGCAGGGGAUCUUCGGACCUUGCGCGAUUGAAUGAGCCGAUGUCGGAUUAGCUAGUUGGCGGGGUAAAGGCCCACCAAGGCGACGAUCCGUAGCUGGUCUGAGAGGAUGAUCAGCCACACUGGAACUGAGACACGGUCCAGACUCCUACGGGAGGCAGCAGUGGGGAAUAUUGGACAAUGGGCGCAAGCCUGAUCCAGCCAUACCGCGUGGGUGAAGAAGGCCUUCGGGUUGUAAAGCCCUUUUGUUGGGAAAGAAAAGCAGCAGGUUAAUACCCCGCUGUUCUGACGGUACCCAAAGAAUAAGCACCGACUAACUUCGUG
rnacentral:rRNA from 1 species